CCCUUAGAUGUUCUGGGCCGCACGCGCGCUACACUGAUUCAUGCAACAAGUUUUGUCCUUGGCUGAUAGGCCUGGGUAAUCUUUGAACGUGAAUCGUGAUGGGGAUAGAUGAUUGCAAUUAUUCAUCUUCAACGAGGAAUUCCUAGUAAACGCAAGUCAUCAGCUUGCAUUGAUUACGUCCCUGCCCUUUGUACACACCGCCCGUCGCACCUACCGAUUGAAUGGUCCGGUGAAAUCUUCGGAUCUGAGAGAUGUCUGAUUAAUUUCGGACGCCUUUUGGAAAAGUUGCUUAAACCUUACCAUUUAGAGGAAGGUGAANUCGUAGCA
rnacentral:rRNA from 1 species